AAUUAAAGCUGGGCACAAGGAAACAAGAAAGAAUUUAAGAUAGAAGAAGCAACAGGAGAGCCUAGGCUGAGCUGCUUUGGCUCCCUAGAAAUGGUAUAGUUAGGACUUCUGAUGAAGAUGGCUACGUAGGUAAAUGCUGUAUUGCAUUCUCCCACAACCACAUCAAAAUUACAACUAAGCUACAGAAAAACCAUCAUUCAAAACCACCUGAAAUCAAGCUGAAUGGAAGUCCUACAACUACGGAAUUGAAGAAGAAGCCACAUCAAGACAGUUAGAUCUCUGAUCCAUGUGGAAUUUACCCUGGUACAUAGUGUGAAGUAUGGAUUCAAUCUUAACUUUUUCCAAAUGGUUAGUUAAUUGUCCCAGUAUUUGUUAUGAA